rnacentral:rRNA from 1 species
UACGAAGGGGGCUAGCGUUGUUCGGAUUUACUGGGCGUAAAGCGCACGUAGGCGGAUCUUUAAGUCAGAGGUGAAAUCCCAAGGCUCAACCUUGGAACUGCCUUUGAUACUGGGGAUCUUGAGUCCGGGAGAGGUGAGUGGAACUGCGAGUGUAGAGGUGAAAUUCGUAGAUAUUCGCAAGAACACCAGUGGCGAAGGCGGCUCACUGGCCCGGUACUGACGCUGAGGUGCGAAAGCGUGGGGAGCAACAGG